AUUGAACGCUGGCGGCAUGCUUUACACAUGCAAGUCGAACGGUAACAGGUUAAGCUGACGAGUGGCGAACGGGUGAGUAAUGCAUCGGAACGUGCCCGAUCGUGGGGGAUAACGCAGCGAAAGCUGCGCUAAUACCGCAUACGAUCUGAGGAUGAAAGCGGGGGACCGUAAGGCCUCGCGCGAUCGGAGCGGCCGAUGUCAGAUUAGGUAGUUGGUGGGGUAAAGGCUCACCAAGCCAACGAUCUGUAGCUGGUCUGAGAGGACGACCAGCCACACUGGGACUGAGACACGGCCCAGACUCCUACGGGAGGCAGCAGUGGGGAAUUUUGGACAAUGGGCGCAAGCCUGAUCCAGCAAUGCCGCGUGCAGGAAGAAGGCCUUCGGGUUGUAAACUGCUUUUGUACGGAACGAAACGGUGAUCUCUAAUACAGAUUGCUAAUGACGGUAC
rnacentral:rRNA from 1 species